rnacentral:rRNA from 1 species
AGUGAACGCUGGCGGUAGGCCUAACACAUGCAAGUCGAACGGCAGCACAGUAAGAGCUUGCUCUUACGGGUGGCGAGUGGCGGACGGGUGAGGAAUACAUCGGAAUCUACUUUUUCGUGGGGGUUAACGUAGGGAAACUUACGCUAAUACCGCAUACGACCUACGGGUGAAAGCAGGGGAUCUUCGGACCUUGCGCGAUUGAAUGAGCCGAUGUCGGAUUAGCUAGUUGGCGGGGUAAAGGCCCACCAAGGCGACGAUCCGUAGCUGGUCUGAGAGGAUGAUCGGCGACACUGGAGGUGAGACACGGUCCAGACUCCUACGGGAGGCAGCAGUGGGGAAUAUUGGACAAUGGGGGCAAGCCUGAUCCAGCCAUACCGCGUGGGUGAAGAAGGCCUUCGGGUUGUAAAGCCCUUUUGUUGGGAAAGAAAAGCAGCAGGUUAAUACCACGCUGUUCUGACGGUACCCAAAGAAUAAGCACCGGCUAACUUCGUG